AUGUCCACUGACGGUAGGACAAGCAGUAAUGAGCUUCAUCUGCAACAAGAGAUUUAGGUUAAAUAUUAGGAAAAACUUUCUAACAUCAGUGUAAUU